GAUCCGGUGGUCAAAGAGGUUAGAACGUUCGCCUCCGAUGCGGAAUGUCGCGGGUUUGAACUCCGGCUGAGUCA